UCAUGUUCCAUACUUACUUGCCCUGUAUCUGCCUGUGGAACCAGCUCAUCUUUCUGUCCCUCAUCAUCACUGGUGGCAUGUUGCUGCAUAGCUGUCUGGCUCACUUCUUCACUGCUGCGUCUGCUGCUAAUAUUUAACUGCGAGGUGCUGCUGCUAGGUGUGCUGCUAAAUAUUUCAGUUAGUUUGUGACAUUUAGCGGCUUCAGUAUCAAAAUUCCGCAAAUUUUUUUUUCUUUCGCCUUCUCAGCCCCACCCUUUUCUUUUCGUUUUUUACCCCGCGGGCCGCGUUAUGCAUAUUGUUUGUCUAACGUCUUCUGUCUUCUGUCUAACGUCUUUGCUGUUGGUUUCCUCCUCCUCUUCCACUUCUUCUUCUCCUUACUUGGCGGCCACGGCCAGUGCAGCUGGCAUCCAACUUAAAGGUGAAUUGCUGCCACCUACAGUAAUGGAGUGUGAAACAGAUUAGUGGGGGGAAAAAACAGGUGAUGACUGCGUGUGUGGCAGGUGGUGGGCCGGCACGCCGGCCGUCCUGGAGUACCAGCCGUUCUGUGAUUCUCCAGAUCACACAGUCCACACAGUCCGCCCCUGUCCACAAUCUCCUCCUGCAGGACAGCAACCUUCAAAGGAGACACCAUAACGGUCUCCACGACCCCCAAGAACGGGGGAGGAUGGCAGAGAAACUGCAGCGCGUACCCCUUCCUCAGCAUCUUGUCUAACCAUCCCGGCUGAGUGCAUAGCCGACGCCACUCUGAGUAGAACAGGGAGAGCGGGCAAGCACGCAGCAGGGGAGCGGUGGCCAGCCGCUGAUUUUACACCUCCUCGGCCCUGACUGCCACGGGGGGCAGUCCGCGAACAGCCAACCAACCCAAGGCGGGGCCAACCCGAAAGGGAGAGGAGGACGCAUGCGCCACCUAGGCCGAGCCGUCCAUUUCCCCAUCCCCAUACAGAUUUAUGGAGUCGGACACUGAGGGCAGGGAGACCGAAGGCUCACUCACAGGUUGAAAAGCAACACAAGGAGACCAAUUUGGACUCGAUUUUUGGAAGAAAUCAUGGACUGUGAGUCAAGCAAUUUGUGAUUCAGGAGGUCCCUCUGGCUCUUGACCACCACUGUGACACCAUCAUCUGGCUGGCCAUUUCAGAGAUUUCCCAGAUGUUGAUAAGUUUCCCCCUUCUUUCUCCUAUUC